rnacentral:piRNA from 1 species
AAUGGGCACUGUUCAAAAAGGAAUGC